rnacentral:rRNA from 1 species
AUUGAACGCUGGCGGCAUGCUUUACACAUGCAAGUCGAACGGUAACAGGCCUUCGGGUGCUGACGAGUGGCGAACGGGUGAGUAAUGCAUCGGAACGUACCCAGAGGUGGGGGAUAACGCAGCGAAAGCUGUGCUAAUACCGCAUGUGAUCUGAGGAUGAAAGCGGGGGACCGAGCAGCAAUGUUUGGCCUCGCGCCUUUGGAGCGGCCGAUGUCGGAUUAGCUAGUUGGUGGGGUAAAGGCCUACCAAGGCGACGAUCCGUAGCUGGUCUGAGAGGACGACCAGCGACACUGGGAGUGAGACACGGCCCUGACUCCUACGGGAGGCAGCAGUGGGGAAUGUUGGACAGUGGGCGCAAGCCUGAUCCAGCAAUGCCGCGUGCGGGAAGAAGGCCUUCGGGUUGUAAACCGCUUUUGGCAGGAACGAAACGGUGUCCGCUAAUACCGGGCGUUAAUGACGGUACCUGCAGAAUAAGCACCGGCUAACUACGUG